GGCGGACGGGUGAGUAACACGUGGGCAACCUACCCUAUAGUUUGGGAUAACUCCGGGAAACCGGGGCUAAUACCGAAUAAUUUGUUUCACCUCAUGGUGAAACACUGAAAGACGGUUUCGGCUGUCGCUAUAGGAUGGGCCCGCGGCGCAUUAGCUAGUUGGUGAGGUAACGGCUCACCAAGGCGACGAUGCGUAGCCGACCUGAGAGGGUGAUCGGCCACACUGGGACUGAGACACGGCCCAGACUCCUACGGGAGGCAGCAGUAGGGAAUCUUCCACAAUGGGCGAAAGCCUGAUGGAGCAACGCCGCGUGAGUCAAGAAGGAUUUCGGUUCGUAAAACUCUGUUGUAAGGGAAGAACAAGUACAGUAGUAACUGGCUCUACCUUGACGGUACCUUAUUAGAAAGCCACGGCUAACUACGUGCCAGCAGCCGCGGUAAUACGUAGGUGGCAAGCGUUGUCCGGAAUUAUUGGUCGUAAAGCGCGCGCAGGUGGUUUCUUAAGUCUGAUGUGAAAGCCCACGGCUCAACCGUGGAGGGUCAUUGGAAACUGGGAGACUUGAGUGCAGAAGAGGAUAGUGGUAUUCCAAGUGUAGCGGUGAAAUGCGUAGAGAUUUGGAGGAACACCAGUGGCGAAGGCGACUAU
rnacentral:rRNA from 1 species